GUUGGUGAGGUAACGGCUCACCAAGACACGAUCGANCGGGGACUGAGAGGUUGAACGGCCACAUUGGGACUGAGACACGGCCCAGACUCCUACGGGAGGCAGCAUG
rnacentral:rRNA from 1 species